rnacentral:rRNA from 1 species
AUUGAACGCUGGCGGCAUGCCUUACACAUGCAAGUCGAACGGUAACAGGUCUUCGGAUGCUGACGAGUGGCGAACGGGUGAGUAAUACAUCGGAACGUGCCUAGUAGUGGGGGAUAACUACUCGAAAGAGUGGCUAAUACCGCAUGAGAUCUACGGAUGAAAGCCAGGGAUCGCAAGACCUUGUGCUACUCGAGCGGCCGAUGGCAGAUUAGGUAGUUGGUGGGAUAAAAGCUUACCAAGCCGACGAUCUGUAGCUGGUCUGAGAGGACGAUCAGCCACACUGGGACUGAGACACGGCCCAGACUCCUACGGGAGGCAGCAGUGGGGGAUUUUGGACAAUGGGCGCAAGCCUGAUCCAGCAAUGCCGCGUGCAGGAUGAAGGCCUUCGGGUUGUAAACUGCUUUUGUACGGAACGAAAAGCCCUGGGUUAAUACCCUGGGGUCAUGACGGUACCGUAAGAAUAAGCACCGGCUAACUACAUGCCAGCCGCCGCAGUAA